GAACGCUAGCGGCAGGCUUAAUACAUGCAAGUCGUGGGGCAGCAUGAGUAGCAAUACUUGAUGGCGACCGGCAAACGGGUGAGGAACACGUACACAACCUUCCUUCAAGCGGGGAAUAGCCCAGAGAAAUUUGGAUUAAUACCCCAUAAUAUAUUCGAUAAGGCAUCUUAUUAAUAUUAAAAGCUUCGGCACCUGAUGAUGGGUGUGCGGCUGAUUAGAUAGUUGGCGGGGUAACGGCCCACCAAGUCUACGAUCAGUAGCUGAUGUGAGAGCAUGAUCAGCCACACGGGCACUGAGACACGGGCCCGACUCCUACGGGAGGCAGCAGUAAGGAAUAUUGGACAAUGGACGAAAGUCUGAUCCAGCCAUGCCGCGUGAAGGAUUAAGGUCCUCUGGAUUGUAAACUUCUUUUAUAUGGGACGAAAAAGGGCAUUCUUGUUCACUUGACGGUACCAUAUGAAUAAGCACCGGCUAACUCCGUG
rnacentral:rRNA from 1 species